UGGCUUCCUGGAUUUGAAGCAGCUGAUUGGUCGGCCCCAUCGACGAUUGGGGCUCUGACCCCACCCUCUCGUCAGGGGAUACAGCUGUCUGCAAUUACCGACUCCUGCAGCUUGAAAAGCCAGUGUUCCUUUGUUAGGAGAGAGAGCUUUUUUUUUUUUUUGAUGUCCUGUGUUGGUUGUUGCUCAGAGACAGGUUUUGUAAAGGAUUUUGUAGCCGGUCCUGCUGAGGUAUGUGUAUGCCAAAAGGACUGUGUUUGUUAUUAUUGAAAUUGUUCACUUUAAGUUAGUAAUUAUUCUGUUUUUGUUCCCAGGGGGGGGAAGGCACCUUGGGAGUGUUUAGGCAAGAGGCCUGUGAGCAUGCAUAUACCCGUCAUAUGUACUGUCUAUGCACACUUGGAGACUGUUACCAUGGACACCAUGACCCUAUCACUGCUUCUCCCCGCUGUUGUUCUGCUCGGAACACUGACAGGUAAAAUACAUUCCAUUGUAUUCCGAGAUCAUUUUAAGUUAAAUUAUAACCACAAUUUGUAUUUAUUUACAGAGGAAAUCCUUUGUAUCACUUUUUUGAGGGAGACCUAGGUCGCAUCUAUAAUGUCAGCCUAUUCCCUACAUAGUGCCCUACUUUUGACCAGGGCCCAUAGGGCACUGCUGUAACGUAGUGCACUAUAUAAGGAAUAGGAUGGCGCAGCCCAAAGCUUCCAGAAUGUACGUCCAGCAAUGAAUGUUAUGUAUAGUACAGUUACCUGUGUGCAUGGAGUGACGCCAGACCCCCUGUGAGAUUGCUAGAGAUGUUGCGGGGGCUUAACUUGAUUGGAGACUUCACCCUGCAGUGUGACAACCAGGGACAAUACACCCCUCAGCAGUGGCUGGGCUCUGCAGGUUACCACAUGGACAUACGCUGGACAUGUAACAAACUAUUAACAUUUCAUGUGUGAUUAUUGUAUUUCUGGUAAGUUUCUGUUGUGUGGACAGAUGAUCCCUGGUACUGAGUCCACCAGACACUGCUCACAUUGUGAGAGGACAGGUAGGAUGUGUUUGUUAAUAUUUGUGUGCAUUUAUACACUCACUGUACAAAACAUUAAGCACAUAUGCUCUUUCCAUGACAGACUGACCAGGUGAAAGGCUAUGAUCUCUUAUUGAUGUCACUUAAAUCCACUUCAAUCAGUGUAUAUGAAGGGACGACAGCUUAAAGAAUAUAUUUUUUUUAAACCUCGACAAUUGAGACAUGAAUCGUGGAUGUGUGCCGUUCAGAGGGUGAAUGGUCAAGACUAAAUAUUUUAAGUGCCUUUUAACAGGUUAUGAUCGUAGAUGCCAGGCACACCGGUUUGAGUGUGUCAAGAACUGCAACGCUGCUGGGUUUAAUCACAACAGUGUCCCGUGGGUACCAAAGGACAUCUGUAGAACUUGACACAACUGUGGGAAGCAUCGGAGUCAACAUGGGCCAGCAUCCCUGCGGCACACUUUCCACACCUUGUAGAGUCCACGCCCCGAUGAAUUGAGGUUGUUCUGAAGACCAAAAAGGGGGUGCAACUCAAUAUUAGGAAGGUGUUCUUAAUGUUUUGUCUGUCAUUGUCUGCAUAUUUCUAUUUUUAAGAAAGCAAAAAUGGCAAAUAAUUGCAUCUUGUUAUAUUCACCUGUUAUUGUUUUCUUUACACAAAAUACUAGGGCUGCUUACAAUGCAAUACUUCAACCAUAAGGACUUGUGCGUACGCAUGGUCUAACGUUUGCAUGAAACUAAGAACGUUCUCACGCCAAGUUACAUUUUUAUAAAUGGCAACAUGCAUGUUUUGGUAUUUUGUACACACUUUUAUGAAGUUCCAGGAGAGAGGAGUUAGAUACCGUCUCCAUUAGACACCUAUACUGGCAGCAGAAGAGAGAGAAAGGUGGAUUUGUCUUUAAAGUUUGACGAAGAUCCUACUCCCAGCACAGUGAACUGGGGUAUAUGUAAAAAUAAACAUGACCUAUUGCCCUAACUUCAAUAUCAAGCAGUCAAAUGUUAUAUUUAAGAAAUUACUGAAAUGUCGAGGUGGGACCAAGUCAUUGUUUUACAAGUCACAAGUAAGUCUCAAGUCUUAGCACUCAAGUCCCAAGUCAAGACAGGCAAGUCCUAAACUUUGAGUUGAGUCCUAAACAAAAUGUGCUCUUCACCAAAUGUAAUACCAUUUCAUAUUUAAUGAGUAAUAGUAUAUUACAUUUAUGCAAAUCAUGAAUGCUUCUAAAAAUAUAUUUCCAAUUAAACUUUAUUUCCAUGGGUAGCCAUGUGACAGACUACGCCAUAUGACAAAAACUAAAUAUUAUAGUGCUCUCUCCAGAUAUACUCUAUACACUUAAAACAAUCCUGCCAUAAAGUUACAAUUAUUUAUUAAAAAAGGUACAUCAAAACAACCGAUACUGAACUUCAAGUAGGCCUACAAUUUGAACAAACAAUACAAUACAGAUCCCAAAGAUGGGAGAUAAAACCUGAACAUGGAGACUGUGUGUGUAAUGCAUAGUUUCAUUUUUUUGUCUCUUAUCUCAGGGUCCUAUGAUGCAUUGCAUUUGCAAAAGACCAAAUUCGAUAAAAGUCUGUCAGUCAUUUGUGCACGAUGAGGUCGCAGUAUGAUGCCACCAUGGCUGAAGACACGCUCUACCGGGGCACUGGAGGCAGGCACUGCCAAGACCCUGAUGGCCACUCGGGACAGUGAAGGAAGAGCCUUCCUGUUCAUUGCCCAGAACAAGAGGGCAUUCUGUCCUUCGCAUAUGUCAAGGUAAUGACUUAGUUGUAGUGCUGGAGUGGUCCCAACAGCUUUCUUCUGCCUCUUACAGUAUGCUGCAAACAGCCCAUCUUCUUGUCCAAGACUAUGGUCCUCUCGCUCUUUCUCGUCAACAAGAGGCACAGCUUGCUCAGUCCCUGUAGCAUCUUCCAGAAUCAGUUCUGGCAAAACAUGUGAAAGCAUAGCAGAACCAAAAAAGGCCGGUAUUAGAGUAUUGGUGAUGCAGUGGGUUAAAUUGAAAAAGUAUUAUUGUUGCAGUCAAUUGGAUUAAAUUGAGAAAAAGUUACAUUAAACUCAAUAUUUACCUUUCACUCUUUGUGCCACCUCCUCCUUGACCUCCUCCUUGACCAGCACAUGGUGCUCCACCCACAUCAGAGAAAAAGCCGGAUCCAAGGCAGCUGCUUUGAGGUAGACUGGAUCUGAAAAUGGGGCAGUGAUUCCAUCUUGUGUCCUGGCCAUUUUCACAUUGAUGAAGAUUCCAAGAAAUCUUUUGUUCAGGGAUGCCUGGAGACUUCUGACCAGGCCGCUCAGGAAAUGGACUUGAGGCUUCCGCUGCUCCAGGUGGUGAUUCAGGGACAGGACCGAGGGAACAACAGAACUGAUUGUGACGAUCUUCUCCCCCUGUGUCAUAUCUGUUGCUUCUCCAAAUGGCUUCAGGAUGUCCACCAACUCCUUCAUCUUAUUCCACUCCCGUACGGUGAACAACAACUCCUUGUGCCCAGCCUUUUCUAGAACAUGACUGAGCUUUCGAUGGUCACAUUGGAUAACUGCCUUCACUUGUUUCAGUGUAGAGUUCCAGCUUGUGUUGACAGCAGCAGGAAUGCCUCUUUCCCCAAAUUCAGCCUCAAACACCUCUCUGAAUGUUGUGUUUGUAUGUAGCAGUGAGCUGAUUUUUGAUAACUUUGAAAGAGAAGGAGUCAUCACUUUUGUUUCUUUCAAGCCAUCUCCCACCACCAGCUGGAGAGUGUGGGCAAAACACUGCAAGCACUGUUUUUUUGCAAUAGCAGCAUCCACUGUUUGCUGGUGUUCCAGGGUUAGGUCAUUCCAGAGCUCUGGGUCAUCAAGGUGAUCUUCGUCAUGUACUUCAUCUUCUUGUUCAAUGGGGAAGCACACCGUGAAUGCUUUUCUCAUGUUGGCAGCAUUGUCACUAAUGAUAUAGUCCAAUUUAUCUUUGAUCCCGUACUCACCACAUAUGGCCUCAAAUUGCUCACAGAUUCUUUCGGCCAUGUGUGGGCCUUUGACGCUGUCACAAGAGAUUGGAUUUGAGCUGUAGCCUCUCUCCAUCUUUCUCCAUACAGUGCACAGUGACACCAAGGAACCCCCUCAUCUUUCGGUCAGACCAAAUGUCCACUGUGACUGAAACAUGGUCUGUGUUGCUCAACUGAGUUUUCAGUUUUGAACGUCUCUCUGUAGCGAGGUUCUCUACUUUUGAUGUCAAUGUUCUACAACACACUGGGCUGUACUUACUGUCAACCACUGACAGAAAGUGACGAAAACUCUUGUUUUCCACAACAGACAGAGGCAAGUUGCAAUCGAUAACCAGGUCGGACAGUAUUGCAUUGUUGAUAGCUUUCUGCUGUGGAUGAUUCAUGCUGUACUGCCCUACACGGGUCUCCAUGAACUGUGAGAUUGGAGACUGUUGUGGUUCACUUGUGACACUUUUGUUCAUCUGGUAUUGUUCAAAUCUGUAAACACAUUAAAAAAAUAAUUGAGCGGGGCAGAAGCACAAUCUUGGGUGCAAAGAUCACGUUCCCGCACUGGCUGACCUCUGUGGAGGCUCAUUGAUUUAACGUUACGUUAGCCUACAUGCUAUACUAGCAGUUAUAUUUAGCUGCCGGCUAUAUAUUAGCCACGACUUACCGUUCUUUGUGCAGCUUCAAAUGUCGAACAAAGUUGGAAGUUGUUGCGCCUCCAUCUGUAAUUUUUUUCCCGCAUGUUUUGCAAGUUGCAAUCCGUUUUCUGUUGACUACAGUGUAGUCUGUAUAUCCGAAAAUAAUAAUUUUGGGUAUCAUCUUUCCAAUGGCUCAAUCUGAAUUCACCCGCAGACGUUCCUCUGUAUUGCCACGCACAACUUUUUCUCCGCUGGCACAAUUUGAUUGGCUGCUGUCCGAUUCAAACUUCUCUGUUAAAUGGAGAGUUGAUGCGCUAAACACUUUUUUUUAAAUUGCGUCUUUUUUUAUAUUUGGGUUUGGGGAGGAUAUCAAGUCAGAUCGAGUCAUAAGGCUCAAGUCCAAGUCAAGUCACGAGUCAUUGGUGUCAAAGUCGAGUUGCAAGUCAUCUUAUUUGUGACUCGAGUCCAAGUCAUGUGACUCGAGUCCACACCUCUGAAAUGUACUGACACUCAGAUUAAACCCACACACACAAAAAGAAAGGAAUGAGAAACUAAGUUGUAAAUCAGUCAUUUUUAUUAAGUGAAGUGUGAUGCCCGACAUUGAGAAAAGUGAUAAGCCUAGUCAUAGUUUAAUACAGACAUAUGCAGAGGUUGUGUAAAGCAGCCAUCAAUAAUCAUGAUAGAAGCACAAUAAGAGAUCCUGCCAUCAUCAUCCUCGUCGUGUCUUAAUAUGCAGUUACUGGCAGGGUGCCAAAAGGAACACACUUCUCCCUUCAACCAUUUUGUCAACAUGCAAAACAGACAGUAAUCAUGAUUCUUUCUUUUGACAAAUUACAAUAAAAUAUGAAGACUAUGAAAAA